rnacentral:rRNA from 1 species
CGGAACGUACCAUUCAGUGGGGGAUAACGUAGCGAAAGUUACGCUAAUACCGCAUAUUCUGUGAGCAGGAAAGCAGGGGAUCGCAAGACCUUGCGCUGAUUGAGCGGCCGAUAUCAGAUUAGCUUGUUGGUGAGGUAAAAGCUCACCAAGGCGACGAUCUGUAGCGGGUCUGAGAGGAUGAUCCGCCACACUGGAACUGAGACACGGUCCAGACUCCUACGGGAGGCAGCAGUGGGGAAUUUUGGACAAUGGGGGCAACCCUGAUCCAGCCAUGCCGCGUGAGUGAAGAAGGCCUUCGGGUUGUAAAGCUCUUUCAGCCGGGAAGAAAACGCAUGGGUUAAUACCCUGUGUGGAUGACGGUACCGGAAUAAGAAGCACCGGCUAACUACGUGCCAGCAGCCGCGGUAAUACGUAGGGUGCGAGCGUUAAUCGGAAUUACUGGGCGUAAAGCGUGCGCAGGCGGUUUUGUAAGACAGGCGUGAAAUCCCCGGGCUUAACCUGGGAACUGCGUUUGUGACUGCAAGGCUAGAGUACGGCAGAGGGGGGUGGAAUUCCACGUGUAGCAGUGAAAUGCGUAGAGAUGUGGAGGAACACCAAUGGCGAAGGCAGCCCCCUGGGUCGAUACUGACGCUCAUGCACGAAAGCGUGGGUAGCAAACAGGAUUAGAUACCCUGGUAGUCCACGCCCUAAACGAUGUCAACUAGGUGUUGGGAGGGUAAAACCUUUUAGUACCGGAGCUAACGCGUGAAGUUGACCGCCUGGGGAGUACGGCCGCAAGGUUAAAACUCAAAGGAAUUGACGGGGACCCGCACAAGCGGUGGAUGAUGUGGAUUAAUUCGAUGCAACGCGAAAAACCUUACCUACCCUUGACAUGCCAAACUUUCCAGAGAUGGAUUGGUGCCCGAAAGGGAACUUGGACACAGGUGCUGCAUGGCUGUCGUCAGCUCGUGUCGUGAGAUGUUGGGUUAAGUCCCGCAACGAGCGCAACCCUUGUCGUUAAUUGCCAUCAUUUAGUUGGGCACUUUAACGAGACUGCCGGUGACAAACCGGAGGAAGGUGGGGAUGACGUCAAGUCCUCAUGGCCCUUAUGGGUAGGGCUUCACACGUCAUACAAUGGUCGGUACAAAGGGUCGCCAAGCCGCGAGGUGGAGCCAAUCCCAGAAAGCCGAUCGUAGUCCGGAUCGCAGUCUGCAACUCGACUGCGUGAAGUCGGAAUCGCUAGUAAUCGUGGAUCAGAAUGUCACGGUGAAUACGUUCCCGGGUCUUGUACACACCGCCCGUCACACCAUGGGAGCGGGUUCCGCCAGAAGUAGGUAGCCUAACCGCAAGGAGGGCGCUUACCACGGCGGGGUUCGUGACUGGGGUGAAGUCGGAACAAGGUA